CCAGAAUGGCUGUCCCUACAGAUCCGUCACAGGUCAAGAGAGCAUUUGAAAAGCUUGCAGAGGGAUAGAUGGGGAUUUCCCUCCACCCUCCUUCAAAGGACAUGUUUCACAUGUGCAUGUGUGGACAUUUCCUCAAUCUUGAACUGCUGAGCAGAUUAAAGGCAAACAAAGGGACAGUGAUGAAAACAGCAAAAAAAAAUGCUGUGCAUCUGAAUGUUACCAGAAUUUACCCAAUGUAGCAACCCCGAGUGGAAAAGAAGGAAAGCUGAAGCUUUGAAAAAUUUCCUGAAGGACACCUAAUUGUAAUUCCUACUUUGAUUUCUCUGUAAAGUUUCUGAAUGCUUCUGGAUGACUACAGUGACAAUUCCCUGACCUGCUGUCCAGAUGAUUGACUGGUUGAUAAUGUCUUUAAUGUUUUGUCAUGUUUUGCCAACAUUGUUUUUAACAAAUCCCAAG
rnacentral:lncRNA from 1 species